UCUUUCCUACGGGGGGCAGCAGUGAGGAAUAUUGGUCAAUGGGAGAGAUCCUGAACCAGCCAAGCCGCGUGAGGGAAGACGGCCCUAUGGGUUGUAAACCUCUUUUGUCGGAGAACAAAACCCGGGACGUGUCCCGGACUGCGUGUAUCCGAAGAAAAAGCAUCGGCUAACUACGUGCCAGCAGCCGCGGUAAUACGUAGGUGGCAAGCGUUGUCCGGAUUUAUUGGGCGUAAAGCGAGUGCAGGCGGUUCAAUAAGUCUGAUGUUGAAACCUUUGGCUCA
rnacentral:rRNA from 1 species